CAGUCGAACGAGGAAUUUUAAAUGAGACUUCGGUGGAUUUUAAAAUUCUUACUGGCGGACGGGUGAGUAACGCGUGGGCAACCUGCCCUGUACAGGGGGACAACAGCUGGAAACGGCUGCUAAUACCGCAUAAGCGCACAGCAUCGCAUGAUGCCGUGUGAAAAACUCCGGUGGUACAGGAUGGGCCCGCGUUGGAUUAGGUAGUUGGUGAGGUAACGGCCCACCAAGCCGACGAUCCAUAGCCGACCUGAGAGGGUGACCGGCCACAUUGGGACUGAGACACGGCCCAAACUCCUACGGGAGGCAGCAGUGGGGAAUAUUGCACAAUGGGGGAAACCCUGAUGCAGCGACGCCGCGUGAGCGAAGAAGUAUUUCGGUAUGUAAAGCUCUAUCAGCAGGGAAGAAAAUGACGGUACCUGACUAAGAAGCCCCGGCUAACUACGUGCCAGCAGCCGCGGUAAUACGUAGGGGGCAAGCGUUAUCCGGAUUUACUGGGUGUAAAGGGAGCGUAGACGGCUUUGCAAGUCUGAUGUGAAAGGUGGGGGCUCAACCCCUGGACUGCAUUGGAAACUGUGGGGCUUGAGUGCCGGAGAGGUAAGCGGAAUUCCUAGUGUAGCGGUGAAAUGCGUAGAUAUUAGGAGGAACACCAGUGGCGAAGGCGGCUUACUGGACGGUAACUGACGUUGAGGCUCGAAAGCGUGGGGAGCAAACAGGAUUAGAUACCCUGGUAGUCCACGCGGUAAACGAUGAAUACUAGGUGUUGGGUGU
rnacentral:rRNA from 1 species